AUGAACGCUGGCGGCGUGCUUAACACAUGCAAGUCGAACGAUGAAGCCCAGCUUGCUGGGUGGAUUAGUGGCGAACGGGUGAGUAACACGUGAGUAACCUGCCCUUGACUCUGGGAUAAGCCUGGGAAACUGGGUCUAAUACUGGAUAUGACUUCUCAUCGCAUGGUGGGGGGUGGAAAGAUUUAUUGGUCUUGGAUGGACUCGCGGCCUAUCAGCUUGUUGGUGAGGUAAUGGCUCACCAAGGCGACGACGGGUAGCCGGCCUGAGAGGGUGACCGGCCACACUGGGACUGAGACACGGCCCAGACUCCUACGGGAGGCAGCAGUGGGGAAUAUUGCACAAUGGGCGCAAGCCUGAUGCAGCGACGCCGCGUGAGGGAUGACGGCCUUCGGGUUGUAAACCUCUUUCAGUAGGGAAGAAGCGAGAGUGACGGUACCUGCAGAAGAAGCGCCGGCUACCUACGUG
rnacentral:rRNA from 1 species